GUGUGUAUGUGUGUGAGUCUGUGUGUGUUUUCGUUUGUCCAGUGUGCGUGUGUCCAGAAUGUGUUUGUGUGUGUUUGUUCAGUGUGUGUGUUGAGUGUGUGUGUCCAUUUUGUGUCCAGUUUGUGUGUGUUCAGUGUGUGUUCAGUGUGUGUUCAGUGUGUGUGUGUGUGUGUGUGUGUGUGUGUGUGUGUGUCCAGUGUGUGUGUGUGUGUGUGUGUUUGUCCAGUGUGUGUGUGUGUGUGUGUUUGUCCAGUGUGUGUGUGUGUUUGUCCAGUGUGUGUGUGUGUUUGUCCAGUGUGUGUGUGUGUGUGUUUGUCCAGUGUGUGUGUGUGUGUGUGUGUGUUUGUCCAGUGUUUGUGUGUGUGUGUCCAGUGUGUGUGUGUGUGUGUCCAGUGUGUGUGUGUGUGUGUGUGUUUGUCCAGUGUGUGUGUGUGUGUGUGUGUGUCCAGUGUGUGUGUGUGUGUGUGUGUGUCCAGUGUGUGUGUGUGUGUGUGUCCAGUGUGUGUGUGUGUGUCCAGUGUGUGUGUGUGUGUCCAGUGUGUGUGUGUGUGUCCAGUAUGUGUGUGUGUGUGUCCAGUGUGUGUGUGUCCAGUGUGUGUGUGUGUCCAGUGUGUGUGUGUGAG
rnacentral:lncRNA from 1 species